CCCCGAGCUGUUCGGUCUUGUCUCAACGACUUUGUUUUAAGGUGUGUGUGUGUGUGUGUGUGUGUGUGUGUGUGUGUGUGUGAGUAAGACACGGUCCUUAAGAAAAAUCUCUGGCGGAUUUCUCUCUCCCAGCUCGCCCUCCCCGCUUCGUUUGGACUCAGGCUGCCCAGACGUUCGUGACAUCUGUGCGGACCCUUUUCCCGCCUCUCUCCAGCCCACUGUUCGCCUCGUCUCUCGCCGGGGCCCCUCUUGGCCCGGAGAUCAAUGUCCCCGGAAGCUCCGCCACCCGCAUCCCAGCCCUGGCCCGAACAGGUCAAAAGAGGCCGCCAAGGGAAACCACCGGGUGCCCACGGCCCGCGGAAUCGAAGGGGUAGGGCGUGGGCUCCGGGCCACUGCGGGCCCUGCCCGAGGGGAUGGCGGCUGGGGGCGCACAGAGGCCGCGGCGAACGCGAGGAAGGCUCACUCACCACCAGAUCGGGAAAGAGAACGCGGGAUCUCCUGGUAUUUUGAGGUGGCGCGCGCAGCUGUGCCCUGAGCUCAGGGACCUCGGAUCACCGGGUCUGACAGGGCCCAGAAGGGAUUUCUGACAACGGAGGUGCUCGGCCUGCCUGGGAUUAGAGCUUCGACGAGGAGCCCCCAGACACAGGGGUGGAUCCAUACACAGGGGUGGCCAUCCCACCGGGAUGGAGCAGGUAGGUCUUGCCUCUUCAGUCCUCCAUCCUGCCCCUCACCUGCUUGGGACCUCUAGGCUCCCCCUGCUGCUCUCCUCUUUCCUGGGCCUUGUCAUCUGUGGUGCUAGGUGGUGGGGAGGGAAGAGAGAGUGAAAGGUGAACGCUGCCACUCCCAGGUGAAGCCUCCCUGUU